rnacentral:lncRNA from 10 species
UGGUGAUGGUUUAUGGGUGUACACAUAUAUUAAAAUUUAAUUGUAUUCUAAAUAUAUGCAGUUUGUGUGUCAAAUAUAGCCAAUAAAGCUAUUUAAAGGAAUCCCAAGCCAAGCACUCCAUACCAGUUAAAUGAUCAUUUCUGAUGUUGGAACCUAGGAAUGAGUAUUCUUUUAAACAUCUCAGGUGAUUCCAGUAGGCAGCCAAGUUUGAGAAUCUGCUAUAAAACAGUGAUUCUCAAAUCGUGCUCACAGGCCAGUGGCAUCAGCCUCACCCAGGAACUUGUUAGAAAUGCUCAUUCUUAGGCCCCAGGCUGAUCUGCUGAAUCAUAAACUUCAGGAUUGGGGCCCAUAGUGGUGGCUCAUGCCUGUAAUCCUGUAGAGCACCUAAUUCUGUCGCUGUUCGAGGCGCCACUUGUAGUCUGCCAGGAUCCAUGGUGGACUGAACAAAGGGGGAUGAAUGCGGGAAUAAAGACAAGAGACAAAAGAGUAUGUUUGGAAGAAGGGUCAGGGGACACCUUGCCUCUAGUGGACAAGGGCCCUGAGCUUUACACAGCCCUCCAUAUUUAUUAGGCAAAAGAGAUAGUGAGAAGGGGUGUGGAAGAAGAGGUCAGCUGCUCGGUCCAGAGUAGGCUUGCAAGACUGCAUUCCUCGAACAAUAGGCUCUAGAUGUCCCAGUAGAUAACCUCAAGGAGCCGGGGCCAGGGAGCGAUGGCCCUCAGCAAACCUUCUGGGCAGGCACAGAAGCGAGUUUGCCCACAUUCUGUAUUCAUGAUAAACAGUUUGCUGUUUGAUCAUGUAGCCUCCAGUGGAAUGCUGAGUUGGUCACCAUCCCUUUGGCCUUUUUGGCUCCCAACAUUUCCCCCUUCUUGUUUAUGUAUUAAGUGAAAGAAUGUAAGGCCAGGCUGGGUAGCUUUCAUUCUCCGAUUGGCAGUCCAUCCGAUUUUACAGACUAUGAACAGAAGACAGAGACAAAACAACAUUAUUCCAAGAACUAUAUAUAAGAUGUUAAUGUGGUGCUUUAGAUAGGUCCAAGGGUUGACGCUCUCCAGGCCUUGCUGGAAUUCAGUCCAGUCUUCUAAAGAAGGCUGAAACUCUGGAAUUUGUUUAUUUAAAUCAAGAAUUUUGUUUUGUAAUUCACCAAUAUCAAAGGUGAUGUCGGAUGUGAAAGCUCCCUGCAAAUGGGCUUUCACAAGAUCCCAUGGAUACUCACUUUGGUUAUAUUCUAAGUUGGUUACACAAAUAUGAGUGUGAUUAAAAUGACAACACAAUUACUGCUGCAAUUGCAAGCUUUGUACUUGUUCCCCUAACCAUAGAAUCGUGGAUUAUAACACUGCCACUUCAGUUUGUAACUCAGUGUUAAUUUUAUUCUCAAGUAGCCACCCUUGGUUGACUGUGCGUGUCCAGUUCUCCACAUACUGAGCUGUUUGAAUAGAACUAUGCAAAGCUACAGAGGACAUCACAACAGAAAUUAUUAGUGUGACCAAGUAAACAAUAGCAAAAAUUAUCAUGCCUAAGCCUCUACGGACACAAUGAGUAAACUGAGUUAGAAGAAGUUUCACAAAAUGUAAAGCAAUUGUGGCAGCCCAUGGCUCAGACAGAUUAACAGGAAUCCAUAGCCCAGGGAUGCAACCUAAAAUCAUCAAAGUAGAGAUAUUAUGUGUUUGCAAUGUGCUAUGAUUAAUGCAGUGAUAUAACUGGCAAGAUUUACAGGUCAAUUGGGUAUUGUUUACCUGGAGCUGGUCCUUCUUAGCUGCCAAAAACACAUAAGGAUUAAAAACACAAACUGUAAAUUGAGUGGUGAUAUUCUUUACAAAUGUAACAUUAAGACUGUGUUGCUUACUAUUGCUAUUAUUGGAUAGUAUUAUGGCAACCCAGAUGUUGCCAUUCAUAAAUGGGAAUGCUGCCUUCCAUAUCAUCUUUUGAAUUGGUCCUUUCCUCCCUAGAUAAUGCCACUGAGGAAGAGGCGGGCUAAAGCCUGCUCCAUGCCAAGCAAUCUGGGCGGCCGACUGGGAUUGGAUCCCAGUGUUAUAUAAAGAAGAAGCAUUAAAAGCUUGCCACCAAUGCCAGCAAAGUUUGUGCCACGAUUUCUGAUUUUCUUCUUUUCCAUCUAAUUGGCCUUUAGGUCCCCAAUCCACAAUGUCUCCAGUUAACAUAGAUUGUUUUCUAGCCAGUGGGCCAAGACACUGGGUCUAUGGAGGGGGGUAGGAACUAUUGAAGGGAAUCCAUUCUGUAUAGUCAGCACAAUGAAGGCGAUUGGGCCAGGAAUGGUUGGUUAGCACACCGGUUACAUUAAUAUAACCAAGACUUAAUAAGUACAUGAUUUUCCCAUAGUGACUCAACCAUGUGUGAGCUUGAACUGUAAGACAGCUAUGGCUGAGUGAUGUCUUUGUGGUGACACACAAAGGAAGUCCUUCCAAUGGAGCGGUAUAAUUAAUGACAUUAUUCUGAGAGUCUAACUGUUCUAUGUCAGGUGGAGUUAGGGGUCCUGGAGCCCAUGCUCCUUAAUCAUGAUAAAUCUUAGGAGGAGUGUCACUCCAAAGUAUGGGUCAUACUGCUGGGGACUUGGGAACAUAUGCCCAAUAUGUUUUUGCCUCUGCACAGGAAAAACAUACUGCACAGGAUAUUAUGGCUAACAUGGCCAAGAACACGGAAUCAGGGGUUUUUGUCUGGCCUUGACACUCCAGUAGUUUCUCAGCUUCCUGCGUAGUUUUCUUGAGUUGUCCCAGGUUAUGGGGGUUGAUGUCGUCGUGACUCUGGUCGAUCUUCUCUCUGUAACAAUAGUUCCUAAGUAUUGGUAUGGGGAAGUUGUUUGUACCUUCUCUGGAGCAAUGUUGAGAUUCCAAUUAACAAGAGCUUACUUUACUUCUCUGAAUAAUUGAUGCAAUAUUUGAUCUGUAGGAGCGGCCAAAAGAGUAUCAGCCAUAAAAUGAAUGAUGUAAGCAGUAGGAAACAUAUUCCGAGGCUCCUUUAAUGCCUGUCCUACAAAAUGCUGACAUAGCGUAGGACUGUUAAGCAUGCCUUGGGGUAAAACUCUCCAUUGAUAAUGAGAAACAGGUUCUCUUUGAUUAAUAGAAGGCACAGAGAAGGCAAAUUGAGGCUUAUCCUUCUCAUGUAUGGGUAUAGUAAAGAAACAGUCCUUAAGAUCUAUUACUACAAGAGGCCAGUCUCUUGGAAUAGCCGCUGGAGAUGGUAAACCUUUCUGUAAGGUGCCCAUCAGUUGAAUUUUUGCAUUACUAGCUCUUAAAUCAUGCAGCAGUCACCAACUUCUGGACUUUUUUGGAAUAACAAACACUGGAGAAUUCCAGGGGCUAACUGACUCCUCUAUGUGUCCUGCAUCCAAUUGUUCUUUUACUAGCUGCUGAAGUUGCGUCAGCUUCUCCCAAGAUAGCGGCCAUUGAUCCACCCAUAUGGGUUUGUCACUGAGCCAUUCUAAUGGUAAGGCAGAGCGUGGAGAAGAAAUAUCAAUGACCUCCAUCAGAAAUCCUGAGGUCCUAGCCCUUUUCUAUUUGUUUUUCCAGUUAUUGAUAUUGGAUUAGGGUUUCAUUGUAG